UACGGGGGGGGCAAUCGUUGUUCGGAAUUACUGGGCGUAAAGGGCUCGUAGGUGGCCAACUAAGUCAGACGUGAAAUCCCUCGGCUUAACCGGGGAACUGCGUCUGAUACUGGAUGGCUUGAGUUUGGGAGAGGGAUGCGGAAUUCCAGGUGUAGCGGUGAAAUGCGUAGAUAUCUGGAGGAACACCGGUGGCGAAGGCGGCAGCCUGGACCAACACUGACACUGAGGAGCGAAAGCCAGGGGAGCAAACGGG
rnacentral:rRNA from 1 species